GACGAACGCUGGCGGCGUGCUUAACACAUGCAAGUCGAACGGAAAGGCCCUGCUUUUGUGGGGUGCUCGAGUGGCGAACGGGUGAGUAACACGUGAGUAACCUGCCCUUGACUUUGGGAUAACUUCAGGAAACUGGGGCUAAUACCGGAUAGGAGCUCCUGCUGCAUGGUGGGGGUUGGAAAGUUUCGGCGGUUGGGGAUGGACUCGCGGCUUAUCAGCUUGUUGGUGGGGUAGUGGUUUACCAAGGCUUUGACGGGUCGCCGGCACGAGAGGGUGACCGGGCACAUUGGGACUGAGGGACGGAGCAGUGGGGUACGGGGGACAGCAGUGGGGAAUAUUGUACAGUGGGCGGAAGCCUGUUGAAGAGACGCCGGGUGCGGGAAGACGGCUUGUGGGGUGAGAACAGCUGUCGCCUGUGACGAAGCGGGAGUGACGGUAAUGGGUAAAGAAGCACCGGCUAACUACGUG
rnacentral:rRNA from 1 species